rnacentral:rRNA from 1 species
GUCUACGGCCAUACCACUCUGAACACGCCCCAUCUUGUCUGAUCUCGGAAGCUAAGCAGGGUCAGGCCUGUUUCGUACUUGGAUGGGGAAAGAGUCUAUCCAGUAUAUC